GGCGAACGCUGGCGGCGUGCUUAACACAUGCAAGUCGAACGGAAAGGCCCUGCUUUUGUGGGGUGCUCGAGUGGCGAACGGGUGAGUAACACGUGAGUAACCUGCCCUUGACUUUGGGAUAACUUCAGGAAACUGGGGCUAAUACCGGAUAGGAGCUCCUGCUGCAUGGUGGGGGUUGGAAAGUUUCGGCGGUUGGGGAUGGACUCGCGGCUUAUCAGCUUGUUGGUGGGGUAGUGGCUUACCAAGGCUUUGACGGGUAGCCGGCCUGAGAGGGUGACCGGCCACAUUGGGACUGAGAUACGGCCCAGACUCCUACGGGAGGCAGCAGUGGGGAAUAUUGCACAAUGGGCGGAAGCCUGAUGCAGCAACGCCGCGUGCGGGAUGACGGCCUUCGGGUUGUAAACCGCUUUCGCCUGUGACGAAGCGUGAGUGACGGUAAUGGGUAAAGAAGCACCGGCUAACUACGUGCCAGCAGCCGCGGUGAUACGUAGGGUGCGAGCGUUGUCCGGAUUUAUUGGGCGUAAAGGGCUCGUAGGUGGUUGAUCGCGUCGGAAGUGUAAUCUUGGGGCUUAACCCUGAGCGUGCUUUCGAUACGGGUUGACUUGAGGAAGGUAGGGGAGAAUGGAAUUCCUGGUGGAGCGGUGGAAUGCGCAGAUAUCAGGAGGAACACCAGUGGCGAAGGCGGUUCUCUGGGCCUUUCCUGACGCUGAGGAGCGAAAGCGUGGGGAGCGAACAGGCUUAGAUACCCUGGUAGUCCACGCCGUAAACGGUGGGUACUAGGUGUGGGGUCCAUUCCACGGGUUCCGUGCCGUAGCUAACGCUUUAAGUACCCCGCCUGGGGAGUACGGCCGCAAGGCUAAAACUCAAAGGAAUUGACGGGGCCCCGCACAAGCGGCGGAGCAUGCGGAUUAAUUCGAUGCAACGCGUAGAACCUUACCUGGGUUUGACAUGGAUCGGGAGUGCUCAGAGAUGGGUGUGCCUCUUUUGGGGUCGGUUCACAGGUGGUGCAUGGCUGUCGUCAGCUCGUGUCGUGAGAUGUUGGGUUAAGUCCCGCAACGAGCGCAACCCUUGUUCACUGUUGCCAGCACGUUAUGGUGGGGACUCAGUGGAGACCGCCGGGGUCAACUCGGAGGAAGGUGGGGAUGACGUCAAGUCAUCAUGCCCCUUAUGUCCAGGGCUUCACGCAUGCUACAAUGGCUGGUACAGAGAGUGGCGAGCCUGUGAGGGUGAGCGAAUCUCGGAAAGCCGGUCUCAGCUCGGAUUGGGGUCUGCAACUCGACCUCAUGAAGUCGGAGUCGCUAGUAAUCGCAGAUCAGCAACGCUGCGGUGAAUACGUUCCCGGGGCU
rnacentral:rRNA from 1 species